GCGGGGUUGGCAGAACGGUUAUGCGCCUGCCUGCAGAGCAGAGGAAGGGGGUUCGAUUCCCUCACCCCGCU
rnacentral:tRNA from 1 species